ACCAUUACGUCGAUAGACGCACUUGAUGCAGUGCCUACACAGAUAGUCUUGUUUAUAUUUAAAGAUGACUUAAAUAAAAGCCCUUAGCUUUGAUUUAAGAUCAAACCUAAGUGUUUUGAAUUAAGCACUAUGUUCUUUAACAAUUUGGAAAGCUGAUAUUAAUAGUAAUCAAUCAAAAUUGAGUAACUGAGAAGUCGAAAGACGUACUUUUUACUCUACUUGACUUGAAUUGCCUUGUUAUCAACAUUGAUUGAUAGCAAGGCAAUUCUUCCGAUUAGCUUGUCAUGCAUACAACAUUACCCUUNGUCCGAAUUCAAAAGGCGGACAUGAGGCCGAUACUCAAGGCUUUUUAGGGUUGUAU
rnacentral:misc_RNA from 1 species